ACUUAUUAGUGCUUGGCAUUUAUACAAUGCUAAGUUCUAGAACCCCCUAUAAAACCUAAUUUGUUUCGUAUUUUAGUAAAGCUGACAAAAGGAUCUUAGAGGUCAUUUAGCCCAAGCUCAACUGCAGAUUAAACACACUGCAUAGGACCACAGAAUCAGCUGGUUCUGAACAGUAUCCAGACCUUAUGAGUCUUAGACCUAUGUUCUUUUCCAUUGCACACUUACUAGUAUGAUGCUAGGUUCCUAUCUUCUACUCUUUUCCUUUUGUUUUCAUCUCUCCAUACUAUUAUAUGGAAAUUUGAAAAUUAGAAUAUUUAUGUCAGUUGAGGGGGAUUACCCCUGUAAUCCUACCAGUUUGGUAGGCCAAGUUGGGAGGACUGCUUGAGCCCAGUAGUUCCAAGACCAGGCUGGGCAAAAGAGUAAGACCCUAUCUCCCAAAACAAAAUGUUAGCGAGUAGUUGGGACUACAGGCCUAUGGCCACCUCACCUGGCUAAUUUUUGUAUUUUUAGUAGAGACGUGGGUUCACCAUGUUGGCCAGGAUGGUCUCGAACUCCUGACCUCAUGAUCCACCCGCC
rnacentral:lncRNA from 10 species